CAGAGAGGAUCCUUGAGCUCAUUCUGUUGUUUGAAGCAGGAAAUGGAACUCUGAUCUUUGGCGGAGUAGCUGCGGUGGCUCCACAUCAGAUACUCUUAUUUCAUUCAAUGAUUGAUAUAUUUCUUCCAUUGUGAAAGUUCUUCAGAGAGUUCCUCAUUUGUUGAUGCUGCCAAAGCUUGUUGGCGUAGAACCUGAUUCUCUGAUUCAAGGUUGGACAAAUUUAAUUCUAAUCUGUGAAUUAUUAGUGAGAGUUAGUCUUGCUGAUUAUCUUGAGGAUGCAUGCGUGAAAUAUUUUUUGUUGGCUACCUUUCCAUAGUCUCUUGAAGUAAGGUGGUUUUUAACUCAGCUUCUUCUGCUUCCCUAAGCCUUGCUUUACUUUCUUCUUCUACUUCAGAGUAAUGCUUUUCAAAUUCUAUAAUUUUUUUUUUUAGCUCGCUUAGCUCAGCCUACACAUUCAAGAUUAUAUAUUGUUAGUCCAGGCACCUCCUUAAUUACUGGUGGAGCUUGUUCAAUGGCUUGUUUUGCUGCUUCCUUCUCCCAGAUGACUGCAGCACGGGCUUCAUCCAGCUGCUCUUGCAUUUCUUUUAAAGCAUUUUGUAACUUGAUGAUUUCUUGGCCUUUUGCUUCUUCAAUAUCGAUCUACAAGGGAAAUUUUUCCCAUGGCAUUAGUGCACCAACUCAAAAACAAAGAAAUAAUAAAUUGCUGACUGAUCUAAAGUUAAUUACAAGAUCAACUUCAGCUGUUUGGAUGGAAUAGUUUAGUUCAAGAUCAACAUACCCUCAAGUGCUUUUCGAAUUCUAGUCGCCAUAUACCGAGACUAGGCACACAAUGUAGAGCUUCAAGUUAUAUUUUAUAGAGAAGCUCACCAUCCUAAGCUUUCGGAGCUCUUUCCUUGCCACUUUUGCUCUCCAAAGACUUUGAAGAGUAAUCGUUGCUUUUUUCUGCUGUUUGUAAGCAGAAAGAGCUUGAAAUCUUCGCCAUUCAGUCUGUUAGAACAGAGAUUGAUAAAAUUCUAAAUCAUGACAUUCUUGAUUGAGAAUUAAUCUUAUAAUUUGCAAGACUUAUAUAGUUCCUUCUCUUGAGAAUGUGAUAAUAAUUUGAUUUCCGUAUGACAAACGAUGUUUUAUGUAUCCUUUAAAUACUCAGCAUUCACACGAUCCUAUUGCCAUUACUUUUUAAAUCAAUAGGUUUUGCUUCAUUCAUUUUGGUAAUUCGUUACCUUUCAUUAUUCCCAACCUUUUGAAAAAACAAAAAAUUAAGUUUCAGAUUGGUAUAUUUAUCAUUUCAACUGAAUAUCCUAAAGAAAUAUACCAACCAAAGAAUUUAUAACCUGGAUUAUGGUUGUGGCCUUAGUUCUUCUUUUGUGUUUGUAUAUAUUCCGGGCUGCCAUUGCUCGUAACCCAGUUUGAAUGACUAUUGCUGAGGCCUGUAAGUUUGUGUAGGAUCUCCUGGCUGUGUGAGCACGUACAUGUUUCUGGAUGUGCUUUGUGGCUGCUUCCCUUCUCAUUUCUUCAUACAACCUUCUUGCAAGUUGUGCUGUAUAGGGAUAAGGAAGAAGCAAUCAAGACAAAAGAGAUAGUUUCCAAUCAUUUACGGUGGCAUUGAAGUCAUGUUUCCACUUAGAACUAAGAUCACACUGAAGCCAGUUGAUGUGAUACUUGUUACUAACUUUGAUCUGCUGAACUAAGUGCACAACAUUCAUUAGUUCAUUUAAGAUAGGUUGGCUGAUUUGGUGCAUUAAAUGGGAGUUUGUUUUGGUUCUUUGUUAGGCCAGAUUGCUUAUAAUAUCCAGUGCCAUCUUCAACAGGUACAUCUGAUUUAUAUUUUACAGUAUAGAAUUAUCCAGGGAGAGGGGAUAACCUCUCCAAUGCUUUUGCAUAGAAAUUGUAGCUCUCCUUAGUGCAAUAAAUUCUUUCCUAGUCAGAUGUGUCCGGAUUGUCCUCUGAAUUUGUUUAGCAGCACUGGCCAAAACUUCAGUCCUCCGUGCAUCUAACUCAGCCAUCUGACCAGCCCUGAGAAACACCUUCGCUUUCCCAAUCUGAAAUGUCAUUAUGGAGGAAAGUUGCCAGUUUUUUCCUUGAAUUAUAUUGAUAGGGAUGUAAUUUUAUUACAAUAUCGUAUUGAUAAUAUUAUGUUUAGUGUACCUGAUAGCCUUUCAUGCCCAUCUUCUCACAUAUUGCAACACAUGCUGUUUUUUCAUCAGAUCUGUCCAGAAAGACAAGUAAUUUGUUAUUCUCUUUGCUGGAAUUGAAAACAAAGAAGAUAGAUUUAUAUUGAUACCAUAUGUUCAAGAAUUAAGGCAAUGUUGCAUUCAGGAAGUGGAUACAGAUAAGGUAGCUAAACAUAAAUAAAUAAAUGGCCAAUGCUCAUUCCACCAUUGACAUAGGUUAUAUUGUCCAAUAAAUAGUUGAAAGGAAGAAGAUUCAUAAGUUUCUAGAAGUCAUACCCAUCUACAAUUUCUGGUGCCAGCAUUCCAAAACGGUCAAUGAACUCACCAAACGUUCUUUUUGUAGGAUACCCGGCACAACUUAUCCUAAUUGCCUCCAGUACACCCUGGCAUGAAGAAAUGCAGUGAGUUGGAAAAGACUACUUAAUUAGUUUGAAAGUGCUGUGUAGUCUUUGGUGGUGGAAAAACUUAACUUACCCCACAUCUUAACUGGUUUAGGACAUUGAAGUUUUCAAAGAUUCCAGGCUUCAGAAUGGCAUUUGGCUUUACACAUCUGAUGGAAUACUCUGGGAACAUGGCUACCUUGAAACGGGUACCAAUGGAAGAAAACUUGGAUUGCUUUGAUGUCUCCUCUGGUAAUGGAGGGAAAAGGUUAGCAACAAAACUGCAAUUGGAAGCAUUUAAUAGAGCCUGAUGUUCAGCUACAACAUAGUCCUUGUUUUUAUCAAGGAAUUGAUCAGCUUGGUUCAUGUGAUGACAUCAUUGAAUGCAAGUGUUUGUUUGAAUAUUGUGUAUAAUUUGCUUACCAGUCGAAUAGCCUGGAGUAAACAGUCUUGGCUAGGGCAUCUCGACUAAGUGCUGCAGAAUCUGGGUCCAGUGGUUUUGUGAUGUUACCAUCAGGAGUCACUAUGACACGCUUGCAAAGUGAGUCCUCUAGUGCCUUCUCAUUGCACCUGAAUGAAUCGACAUUCAGAGACAACCGACAGGCAUCUUAGAAAUUAUACCAGGCCCAAACAAGAACAGAGAAAUAAAUUCUUACAUGAGGAGCUCGGCUGCUGUUUGAAGAUGGUAUUGCGAUUUUUCAUCUUUAAGUCUGGAGGAAUCAACUUCCUUUCCUUUAGUGAAAUCAAUGUUUCCCAAAUGGAGGAUCGCAGCUACAACUCGAAAUAUUGCAUCCUGUAAAGGUAAACAUCCAUCUAUUAGUUGGAAACACAGGAAACUGUGAUUGAUUGAUUUUCGUUUAAGCUGAUGUCAAUGUCCUGCACCUGCUCUUCUUGACUUAUGCCCACAAUAUCCAUUGCAUUUCUGGUCUCCAAAUACUCUCUUGCAUCAUCUACAUUAGCUACUUCAUAGCAGUUUGACUGGUUUAGAUAACGAAAUGUUCUUGGGUCCCCUAACUUGAAUUUCUUGACAUCCUGAGAAAGGGACAUUUGUUAGCUAAUGUAGCUACAGUGUGUGGCUUGGUAGCUGUGAUAGACAAUGUAGUCACCUCUGGUGGUGCUGCGCAGAGCAUGUAAAAGCAAUGGUAGUUUCUUUCUGGGUCUGAGACCUGACAAACCCGUGAUCUUUCAAGAAGAUAAGUUCGUACUGCAGCUCCAGAAAUCUUCCCUUGCUUAUCAAAUUGAAUUUCAACAAAUUUUCCAAAACGGCUGAGAAAACCAAUCAAUACUUUUUGGCAUUCCCAAAUGCUUCCAAUACAGGAUUUGACUGUAGAAAGAAAAAAAAAGGUCUUCUUUUCAAUCAUUUCAACAUUCUGAUGUACAAAUUUGGCAACAGUUGUACUUACUUCCAAAACUUGUUGUUCUACUGUUCUUCCUUCAGUACUAGAUCUUCCCCCCAUGAAUGCAAGGUGUCUGCAACAGCAAACAGAUGUGGACUCAGCUCUCCAAAAGCAGCUCCUUUAUAUUGCUCCAUCAUAUGGAUGUCAUACAAGUGUGGCAGUCUCCGGAAAGGAUUCACUGCUAUUAGAAUGUUUCCUGUAUAAGUCUGUUCAUAUCAAGAGAAAAUCGACAAGCAAGAUUGUGUAGCACUCCUGGUUCAUGGAGGUAAGCUAACUUGGUCAUGUCAUCAACUCCUGCUGGUGGUGCUUCUGUGUCUUUUGGAUAUAUACUUGCAAUAUCAGCAACUAUCUGGAAUAGAGAUGAAAAAAUGCACUUUCAGUUCAUUUGUAUAAAAUGAAGCUUCUGAGAGAUGUCAAUAAAUAAGACUGUUCCUCACUAGGCCUUUCGUGGGGGGGCAUCUUAAAACUAGAAACAGUAAGAAAUCUUAUUGCCAUUUAAUGAAAUUUGGUAAUCAUAAAGGUGUUUUCCAAUUAAAAAAACCUUGUAGGAUCCAAGAAAAAAAAUUGUAUGAUGAAGAUGAAGGUGUGUUUCCGAUAUAAUGGGAGGCAACAGUAGCUUACAGUUUUCCCAUUUGAAGUAAUUAGGGUGGCCUCUCUGCCGUUGAUUUCUUUUACUUCACUGUCAAUCCAUGCAACCUCAGGAUCUUCAGCCCAAGCAUGCGAUCCAACUAUGAUGUUCACAGGGCUUCCCUGGAGAAAAAAAAAAAAAACACACACACACACACACAAUAAAGACAUUUUUAGUGCUUACCCUAUUCCUCGGAAAUGAAGAGUGCCAAUGAACCAAAAAAUGGGAGACAUAAACCAAUCUGCAAAACUUUACCAUAGCUGAAAGUUAGAUGAACAUCAAAGUUCUGAAGCAGCAACAGAUGAUGAAGUUGUGUUAUAGGAAAGGUGCGAAAGUGUUGUUGCAAUUGCAAAUGGAGGAGGUGGAUUGAAAGCAGAAAGAAAAUGUUGAAAAAAGAAAUCAAAAACAGGGGAAAUACAGGUGGUGAUUAACUCAAAAGCAAAAGGCAGUGGCAAUCGCUCAUCUCCCGCCCCCACCAAUUUAUGGAAACUUUAUGCUCAAUACACAUAGAAUGUUGACUUGGAUCCAGUUGAAACCCCCCAACUAAAGGGCUCCAACUGACCCUCACUGCCAGGUAUCAGGAAUACUUUAUCGUGAUGCAGAUCAUAGUAGCUCAGUUUCUGAAUUAAAAAGCUUCAUGCUUUCAGUUCUAAAUUUAAAAAGUUUGCUUGUGUUUCAGUGGAGGAUUUUUUAAUUAGAGACAAAUAGUUGUCAAUAGAUACGGAUGAUUACAUGUAUGGCAUGGAUGGAACUCACGUUUUAUCAAAGGACAUAUUACUUGAUAAAUAUUAUGACAUACAAAUCCUAUAUUUACAAAGUAUAGGUGAGAUGAUGAAUUUUUAUGUA